GACGAACGCUGGCGGCGUGCUUAACACAUGCAAGUCGAACGGUGAACUCCGCUUGCGGGGGGAUCAGUGGCGCACGGGUGAGUAACACGUGGGCAACCUGCCCUCAGCUCUGGGAUAACUCCAAGAAAUUGGGGCUAAUACCGGAUAUGACCGCUGACCGCAUGGUCUGGUGGUGGAAAGAUUUAUCGGCUGGGGGUGGGCCCGCGGCCUAUCAGCUUGUUGGUGGGGUAGUGGCCUACCAAGGCGACGACGGGUAGCCGGCCUGAGAGGGUGACCGGCCACACUGGGACUGAGACACGGCCCAGACUCCUACGGGAGGCAACAGUGGGGAAUAUUGCGCAAUGGGCGAAAGCCUGACGCAGCGACGCCGCGUGGGGGAUGACGGCCUUCGGGUUGUAAACCUCUUUCAGCAGGGACGAAGCGAAAGUGACGGUACCUGCAGAAGAAGCACCGGCCAACUACGU
rnacentral:rRNA from 1 species